rnacentral:rRNA from 1 species
AGAACGAACGCUGGCGGCAGGCCUAACACAUGCAAGUCGAACGCACCCUUCGGGGUGAGUGGCAGACGGGUGAGUAACGCGUGGGAACGUGCCCUUCGGUACGGAAUAACUCAGGGAAACUUGAGCUAAUACCGUAUACGCCCUCAGGGGGAAAGAUUUAUCGCCGAAGGAUCGGCCCGCGUCGGAUUAGCUAGUUGGUAGGGUAACGGCCUACCAAGGCGACGAUCCGUAGCUGGUCUGAGAGGAUGAUCAGCCACAUUGGGACUGAGACACGGCCCAAACUCCUACGGGAGGCAGCAGUGGGGAAUCUUGCACAAUGGGCGAAAGCCUGAUGCAGCAACGCCGCGUGCGGGAUGAAGGCCCUAGGGUUGUAAACCGCUUUCAGCAGGGAAGAAAUGACGGUACCUGUAGAAGAAGGUGCGGCCAACUACGUGCCAGCAGCCGC